rnacentral:rRNA from 1 species
AAACCAACAGGGAUUGCCUCAGUAACGGCGAGCGAAGCGGCAAAAGCUCAAAUUUGAAAUCUGGCGUCUUUCUUAGGCGUCCGAGUUGUAAUUUGAAGAUGGCAACUUUGGGAUUGGCUCUCGCAUAUGUUCCUUGGAACAGGACGUCAUAGAGGGUGAGAACCCCGUACAUGGCGAGGUGACCCAAUCCUAUGUAAAGUGCUUUCUAAGAGUCGAGUUGUUUGGGAAUGCAGCUCUAAGUGGGUGGUAAAUUCCAUCUAAGGCUAAAUAUUGGCGAGAGACCGAUAGCGAACAAGUACAGUGAUGGAAAGAUGAAAAGAACUUUGAAAAGAGAGUGAAAAAGUACGUGAAAUUGUUGAAAGGGAAGGGCUUGAAAUCAGACUUGGUAUUCAGUGAUCAACUGUCUUUCGGGACUGUGCACUCGCUGUUUACUGGGCCAACAUCGGUUUAGAGGGUGAGAUAAAAGCUAGAGAAUGUGGCACUGCUUCGGUAGUGUGUUAUAGCUCUGGUCAAUAUCACCAUUCUGGACCGAGGACUGCGCUUUAUGCUAGGAUGUUGGCGUAAUGAUUUUAAGCCAC